rnacentral:rRNA from 1 species
AUUGAACGCUGGCGGAAUGCUUUACACAUGCAAGUCGAGCGGCAGCGCGGGGCAACCUGGCGGCGAGCGGCGAACGGGUGAGUAAUACAUCGGAACGUGCCCAGACGUGGGGGCUAACUACUCGAAAGAGUGGCUAAUACCGCAUAUGAUCUCAGGAUGAAAGCGGGGGCUCGCAAGGCCUCGCGCGUUUGGAGCGGGCGAUGGCAGAUUAGGUAGUUGGUGGGGUAAAGGCUUACCAAGCCUGCGAUCUGUAGCUGGUCUGAGAGGACGACCAGCCACACUGGGACUGAGACACGGCCCAGACUCCUACGGGAGGCAGCAGUGGGGAAUUUUGGACAAUGGGCGAAAGCCUGAUCCAGCCAUUCCGCGUGCAGGAUGAAGGCCCUCGGGUUGUAAACUGCUUUUGUACAGAACGAAAAAGCUCUGGUUAAUACCUGGAGUCCAUGACGGUACUGUAAGAAUAAGCACCGGCUAACUACGUGCCAGCCGCCGCCGUAACAC